UACGGGGGGAGCAAGCGUUGUUCGGAUUUACUGGGCGUAAAGGGCGCGUAGGCGGCGUGACAAGUCACUUGUGAAAUCUCCGGGCUUAACUCGGAACGGUGAAGUGAUACUGUCGUGCUAGAGUACAGAAGGGGCAACUGGAAUUCUCGGUGUAGCGGUGAAAUGCGUAGAUAUCGAGAGGAACACCUGCGGCGAAGGCGGGUUGCUGGGCUGAUACUGACGCUGAGGCGCGAAAGCUAGGGGAGCGAACGGG
rnacentral:rRNA from 1 species